CAGAGAUAUGCCCUCCGGGGCAGACCUCCCACCCUGUGUAAUAUACUCUUGUUGCUUUGGCAGGCCGCUUUGGCCCUUGGCAUUCUGCUAGGGAGUGCCUGCCAGAGGAUUCAACUAUUGUGUUCAAUGUCGUCUGAGUACUAUAUAAUAAGUUA
rnacentral:misc_RNA from 1 species